rnacentral:lncRNA from 1 species
UGCACUAUGAUGUUUAUGUCAAUAAACCAAAGAUUGAUUUAAAGACAAUGCUGAUUUACUUAUAAAGCAAAAUAAAAUGAUAGGUGUGUUUCCUAUUACAUCUUUGAAAAAAUAGGGUAGGUAGGUAGGUAGGUAUGGAUUUUUUUGUUUUUACAAUUUUUUUUAAAUUGAGUCUAUGGGAGAGCAAUUCUGAAAGUAACAAUGCUUAUUUAAAAUGACCAAAAAAACUUUAAGGUAGGCUAUUUCUAAGCUUGAAAUAUAGUGUACAUAGGGAAUUAGGAAACACACAUAUUUUUAAUUUGGCCUAAAUGCUUUAAAUCCUUGUUCAUGUUAUUUUUUAAGUGUCAUCCACUUAUAUAUAUUAAAUUGUAAUUAAUAUUAAAAUCAUUUAUUGAGAGAGAAAAUGAAUGCUGACUUUUGAAAAGUUAUUCACCUUUUAGUAUAAAAUUAGAAUCAUUUAUUGAAAGAGAGAAUAAAUGUUGACCCAUGACUGUCUUGUAAGGUUAGUAAAUAUGUUGAUACCGUACUUGGUCAUGUAUAUUCUGCACUUUUUUAUCUAAAAUAUGAAGUUGGUACAAAGGGUGCAGAUUAUACACAACUAUAGACAUUUUUUUUCAAUUUUACUUUUGUUAAAAGAUGUAUAUUUUGUAUUGAAAAGAUAUGCCAAUAUUGUGUUGUAUUUUUGGCAUCAGAGUUUAUUGUUGUUAUAUUGUUCAGUUAUAUUGUUCAUUAUUGUGUCGUCAGGGAAGAUUGUGUUUGUCUUUGCUUGUACAUUAUACAGAGGUUUGAAAAACUAUUACAUGUACCCCCAAUGAACCAAAGGAUUGAAAUGAAUUGUAAAUACAUUAUCUUCAAGAUGAUUCAAAGGUGCUUUUUGUGAUAUUUUUCUUUAAAUUGUGUUAUAGCAACAUAAUUCUUUUCAUUUUUGCUGGAGGCUAGAUAUUGACUUUAUAAUUGUACAUAUCUAUAAUAUUUAAGGUGGUACCUAACACUACAGGGAGAUAACUCUGUAAAGUCAGCUAAACGUUUUAAUUACGUUGUGUUGUAAAGAGAAUAAUAAGCUUCACAAAGAUCAAAAUUGGUGUUUGUCAAACUGCUAUUUAACCAGUGUAAUUUUUCUGACAAAACGGUUGGUUCAAAAUUUUUGAAAUUUUUAUAUUUUUGUUAAAGGGUCAAAGUAAAUAUUUUGUCAAAAUUUUAUCAAAGAUUAAUUUUAGUGAAAGUGUUAGGUACCACCUUAAAACAACACAUUAAUGCAAUAUUCCUAUAUGCUGUUUUAUGAGUAAAGCUAUCAGAAUUCCAGAAGGCAUUUAUUUAAUCCAGAGAAAACAGUUGAAAGGAAGAAAUCCCAGUUACAUUUAUUUGAUAGUAUUUUUUUCAGAUUUGUAGUUUUGACAAGGUCAGUUCAAUGAAUUAGAACUGCUCCAUUAAACAUAAAGGGUACUCAGGAGGCACUUUGAGAACCAAGUAAAAAUAAUCCAUCUAUUUUUCGACUUACACUGCAUAAAACACCUAUUGAUGAGACUUUGAGGCUUCCUUGGGUUUAUGUAACAUCCUGAUAUUUUGGUACUGAAAUGCAGAUUAUUUUCUUUUUUUUCCCUUAUAUUUUCAUCUUGUAAAAAUAGCAUUUAAGUAUAUUGACUAUAGUAAAGAAUAUGAACAGAUCUGAGUACCGUUAGACAGUGC